AAAACCUAGGCCAGGCGGGGCUACCCACUGAGUUUAAGCAUAUCAAUAAGUGGAGGAAAAUAAACUUACAAGGAUUUCCUUAGUAACGGUGAGCGAAUUGGGAAGAGCCAAGCUUGAGAAUCGGACAACAAUGUUGUUUGAAUUGUAGUCUGUAGAAGCGUCCUCAGCAACAGACCGGUCCCAAGUCCCCAGGAAGGGGGUGCCGGAGAGGGUGAGAUCCUCGUCAUGCUUGGGCCCUGCUGCAUUACAAGGCACUAUCGGUGAGUUGAGUUGUUUGGGAAUGCAGCCCUAAUUGGGCAGUAAAUUCCAUCCAAGGCUAAAUAUUGGCAAGAGACUGAUAGCAAACAAGUACCACGAGGGAAAGAUAAAAAGGACUUUGAAAAGAGAGUCAAAGAGUGCUUAAUAUUGUUGGGAGGGAAGCGGAUGAGAGUCAGCGAUGCAUCUCGGUUGAAUGUGGAAUGGUGAUAAGCCAGUCCACCGAUCAACUCAGGAUGUGGACCGAUGCGGAUUGUGGCAGUGUCCUAAGCCCAGGCUAUUGAUAUGCUUGUGGAGACGUCAUUAUUAUGUUCAUGGUGGGUAGUGCGCACUGUUAUGGCGUGCUUCAGGCAUCGGCCUUGGGCUCCUCAUUCGACCCGUCUUGAAACACGAACCAAGGAGUCUGAUUUGUGUGCGAGUCAAUGAGUGAGUAAAAUCGUAAGGCGUAAGGAAGCAAAUUGGAGGGAUCCCCUUGUGGGUUACACCGCUGACCGACCUUAAUCAUCUGAGAAGGGUUCAAGUGUGAGCAUGUCUGUCGGGACCCAAAAGAUGGUGAACUCUUAAUGAGCGGGGCGAAACCAGAGGAAACUCUCGUGGAGGCCCGCAGCGAUACUGAUGUGCAUAUCAUUCGUCUGACUUGGGUAUAGGGGCCAAAGACUAAUCGAACUAUCUAGUAGCUGGUUCCCUCUGAAGUUUCCCGCAGGAUAGCUAGGGCUUUGUCGAGUUCUAUCAGGUAAAGCCAAUGAUUAGAGGCAUCGGAGGUGCAACGCCCUUGACCUAUUUUCAAAAUUUAAAUAGGUAGGACAAUAUGACUGCUUUUUUUUAGCCAUGUUAUGGAAUAAGUAGCUCCAAGUUGGCCAUUUUUGGUAAGCAGAACUAGCGAUGCAAGAUGAACUAGAAGUCAGGUUACAGUGCCUAACUGUGCGCUAACCUAGAACCCACAGAGAGUGUUAGUCAAUUAAGACAGCAGGACGGUGGUCAUGGAAGUCAAAAUCCGCUAAGGAGUGUGUAACAACUCACUUGCCGAAUCAACUAGCCCCAAAAACGGAUGGUGCCAAAGCGCACGACCUAUACUCAGUCGUUGAGGCAAUUGCUAGGUAUCAAUGAGUAGGAGGGCACGGCGGUUGCUGCAAAACCUUGGGUGUGAGAUUGGGAGGAGCUGCCAUCGGUGCGAAUCUUGGUGGUAGUAACAAAUAUUCAAAUGAGAACUUUGAAGGCCGAAGAGGGGAAAGGUUCCAUGUGAAUGACACUUGCACAUGGGUUAGUCGAUCCUAAGAAGCAGGGGAAGCCCGUUUGAGAGCGUCGAGUGCGCGGACUUUGAAAGGGAAUCAGGUUAAAAUUCCUAAACCAGGAUGUGGAGGUUGACGGUAAUGUUAGGAAUUUCAGAGACAUUGCUGUGGGCGUCGGGAAGAGUUAUCUUUUCUAUUUAACCGCCUACCCACCCUAGAAACAGCUCAGCCGGAGGUAGGGUCCAGCGGCUGGAACAACACCACAGGUUACGCGGUGGUGUGCCCUUGGCAGCCCCUGUAAAUUCAAAGGACCAAGUGCCGUCCACACUCAGUCGUACUCAUAACUGCAUUAGGUCUCCAAGGUGAAGAGCCUCUGGUCAAUGGAAUAAUGUAGGCAAGGGAAGUUAGCAAAAUGGAUCCGUAACAUUGGGAAAAGAAUUAGCUUUGAGGGUUGGGCACUGGGGUCCUAGUCUCGAAACCGUCAAUUGUCGAUGGAUUGCUCGAGCUGCUCUCACAGCGAGAGCGGGUCGUCGUAUGUUGCUCGGGGGACAGAUUGGGAUCGGCUCCUUCGGGGGCCUUCCUCGGGCGUCGAACAGCCAACUCAGAACUGGUAUGGACAUUGGGGAAUCCGAAUGUUUAACUAAAAAAAAGCAUUACGAUGGUCCCUACAGAUGCUCAUGCAAUGUGAUUUUGCCCAAUGUUCUGAAUGUCAAAGUGAAGAAAUUCAACCAAAUGCAGGUAAAUGGCGGAAGUAACUAUGACUCUCUUAAGGUACCCAAAUGCCUCAUCAUCUAAUUAGUGACGCACAUGAAUGGAUUAAAGAGAUUCCCACUAUCCUUGUUUACUAUCCAGUGAAACCACAACCAAGGGAACGACUUUGGUAGAAUCAGUGGGGAAAGAAGACCCUGCUGAGCUUGAAUCUAGUCCGACUUUGUGAAAUGACUUGAGAGGUGUAGGAUAAGUGUGAGCCGAAAAUGGUGCAAGUGAAAUACCACUACUUUUAACGUUAUUUUACUUAUUCCAUGAAUUGAAGGCGGGCUUAUUGCCCCCUUUUUUAAACCCAAGGCCUAUUUCGAUGGGCCAAUCCAAGUGGAAGGCAUUGUUAGGUGGGGAGUUUGGUUGGGAUGGCACAUAUGUUAAAAGAUAAUGCCGGUGUCCUAAGAUAAGCUCAACGAGAACAGAAAUCCCAUGUAGAACAAAAGGGUGACAGCUCUUUUGAUUCUGAUUUUCUGUACAAAUACGAACCGUGAAAGCGUGGCCUAUCAAUCCUUUAAACCUUCGAAAUUUGAAGAUAGAGGUGUCAGAAAAGUUACCACAGGGAUAACUGGCUUGUGGCAGCCAAGCGUUCAUAGCGACAUUGCUUUUUGAUCCUUCGAUGUCGGCUCUUCCUAUCAUUGUGAAGCAGAAUUAAUUAAGUGUUUGAUUGUUCACCCACCAAUAAGGAACGUGAGCUGGGUUUAGACUGUCAGGAGAUAGGUUAGUUUUACCCUACUGAUGACAGUGUUGUAAUAGUAAUUCAACCUAGUAUGAGAGGAACCGUUGAUUCGCACAAUUAGUCAUUGCGCUUGGUUGAAAAGCUAGUGGCGCGAAGCUACUGUGCAUUGGAUUAUGACUGAACGCCUCUAAGUUGGAAUCCAGGCUAGAAGCGAUGCAUAUGCCCAUUACCCAUUUGUCAACCCUUAGUAGGGGCCUCAUAGCCCCCAAAGGCAUGUGUCGAAGGUCAAGACCUCGUGGCAGAUGAGUCGUGUAGGCUUCCUUAAAGUAAAAUUUCUAUCGAACAGUGGGUAGAAUCCUUUCCAGAUGACUUAAAUAUGCGACAGGGUAUUGUAAGUGGCAGAGUGGCCUUGCUGCCACGAUCCACUGAGAUUCAGCCCCAUGUCGCUUUGAUUCGU